rnacentral:lncRNA from 1 species
UCUUAAUCCUCAGAGUAACCCUAACAUGUAAAUAUUACUGACCUCAUUUUCCUUUUUAAAAAAACAUUUAGGCCUCCAAAAGAUUGAGAAACCUGUCAAGGAAACAUAGCUAACCAGUAAAAAUCCUUAAGUUUCUGGUUUUGGUGUAUUUAUUUGAAAGUGCAUACUGAUGUUUCUACCUUCUUGCUCCACAAGACUGAUCUUCCUUAAAACAGAUUAUUUUAUUAGUUCCUGACUCUUUUUAGUGGUUCUCUUUCUUUGCCUUUAGGAUAGUUUUCAAACUCCUUAAUAUGACAUUCAAAUACUGUAAGUCCCUGCUGUCUUUGUCUCCAGUCUUCUCUCUCAUGGUCGUUGCCUCUGAUAGUCAUAGUAAGCUACGCCUACUUGGUGGAAUACAUAAUUCCUUCUUAAAUGCCGCUCUUCUCUUGACCAAAUACCUGCACAUCCUAAAUACCAAAUUGUUUAGAUAUAAACUCUUCUAGAAGCUUCUGUGGCUGUCACUGUUUGAGUUAAAUACACUUUUCUUUCCCCUUCUAAUGUGUAUAUCUCAGUGUAUUGCCAGUGUUUACUUGGUUGUCUCUUUGCUGGACACUGAGACUCAUGAGACAGAAACCAUUCUCCUUGAGCAGCCACGCUGACAAGUAAGUGCAUGCUCUAUAGAAAUGAGAUGUAGUAGAUGUCUGUAGGUGACGGAGAGCAUCUGGACUCUGUGAAAGCUGUAGGGAGUCAGCUGUCAAGACGAGGCAGUGGAAAUUAGGUGGAAGACAUCACCCAAAUUGUGUGUGAAUUAGAAGGUGGUGAAGGGUUACACAGGGAUGAGUAGAAGUUGAAUUGGCAAAGAAAGUUGAUGGUGAGUGGAGAUAGACCAGGAAAGAGUUGCUUAGAGGCCAAGUAACUGGUUUCUGUUGCUAUACAGCAAACUACCUUAAAAUUUAAUUGUUUAAAAAUAGUUGUUUAGGGGCUGGGCUGUAGCUCAGUGGUAAAGUCCUUGCCUUACAUGUGUGAGGCACCAGGUUCGAUCCUUAGCACCACAUUAAAAAUAAAUAAAGAUACUGUGUGUUCGUCUACAACUAAACAAAUAUUAAAAAAAAAAAAAAAUAGCUGUUUAUUGAGUCACUUGAGUCUGUAGGAGAGUGAGUGAGUCUGCUGUCCUCAGCAGUGUUCUCAUGUCUGCAGUCAGCUCAUAGGUGGGCAAGGGACCGGCUGGUAUGGAAUGGCCUCCACAGGGAUGAAUCAUUUCUCUCCCACAUCUCUCUUCUCCCCAGCAUGCUCACCUAUAAAUGGUCUCAGCACUGGAAGGGUUGACAGAGAAAGCAGAAAUGUGCAAGCCCACUUUUUUUCCCCCCAAGACCAUUUUUUCCCCAAGCUCUGCUGCUUCAAAGUUGUUCUUAUCUUUGACCAAAACAAGUCACAUAUUGAAGCUCAGUGCUUAAUAGGGCACUAUUAAGGGCCGGGAGGCCAGGAGGAGUGGGACCAUUGAUUCAGCCUGUCUUGCCCCAGAGAAAGGAGGGAAGUAGAUGGCAGUUUUGUGCUUCACAAAGGUUAAACAGGACAAGGGUAGCAAUGCUAUUGGAGUAAUCAUUGGGAAGUUGUGAGUGGCGUCUACCAAGAUAGGUGGAAGAAGGUGUUGUCGAGGUACAAGUAUGAUUGCAGUUCAUUGGGGAAUGAAUAGGAAUUGAAGAAGAGGAGAGACAAAGAAAUUCCCCUGGCCUUAGGGGAAAAAGAGUUGGGUUGGGGGAAGGCAACCUUGAAUAGCAAGAGAGUGCCACCAUGUUUUGACUGGCUUUUUCUCACUGCCUCCUGGUGAUAGCAUGUCUAUUUGGAAGCUAGAGUAGACCAGUUCUUAAAUAUAUUGGAUCUCUUUUAUUACCAUUUUUCUUUAUUGUUCCAGUCUAAAUGAAAUAUCUGAUAGGUAUUUUGAAAAUAAAAUUUAGUGAACUUUGUUUUAAAAUAGCAUAUAGAUUUUAGAACGUUUAAAAAAUACUACAAGGGCUGGGGUUGUAGCUCAGUGGUAGAACAUUUGCCUCACACGCGGGAGGCCCUGGGUUUGAUUUUCAGCACCACGUGAAAAUAAGUAAAUAAAAAUAAAGAUAUUGUGUCCACUUACAACUAAAAAAAAUA